CGCUGCUGGAGGCUGGCAGGGAGGGAAGGAGGGGAGGUGCAAAGACACUCGCGGCGCUGCUGCGGCCGGACAGCCGCGUGCUCUCCGCAGUGAUGUCAACCGCAUCCGCCGCAGCAUACCCCCCCCAUCCACCCCCCACCUUGGGCCUCGCCCGCGCCGCGGUCCGCGGAAACCUCUGUCUGGCGCCUCCAGCCUGGGGACGAGAAGCUGGGGGCGUGAGGGUGCCCUGAGCCCCCCACUCCGUUUGCAAAAGCGGAAGAGACAGGGAGUGGGUGAACCCUGGUGCCGCGGCUACGGGGGCGGAGGAAGGGGAGGGGGCGGUCGACCUAAGUCAGCAGAUGUGGCUUCUUUUAGCUGAAUAAUCCGUUAAAGGAAUAAUAAUUUUUAAAAAGGAGAUCGACCUCACCCAAAGAGGAUGGCGAACGAGAUUAGGGCUUGAUCUACUGCCUUUCGAUGGGUUGGCUGAAACACUUCGGACUGCGACCAGUCUCUUAAAAAGAACAAAAAGAGGAAGACCUUGAGUGGACCCCAGGACAAAGCACUUUGGGCUCGGCAAGAAGGGACGCGCGGGAGCGCUGGCUGGGAACUGGAGUGAUCUCCCGUGCCAAAGAGCGCCCAUGAAGCGUGCGGACCUCUGAGGGUAUUCGGAUUGAAUUUUAUUUAUCCUUUUGGCAUGCUUGAACGAUGACAUUGUUGGAAAGGGGGAUCCAGCUGCAUUAGACACGAGUGACCUUUUAAAUCUACGCCCACCCUUUACCUGCAAGAGGACUGCAGCAGGCGAGUUUCGGAAGGCUGAUCCCGGCCCGGAGCGCGGCAGUUCGCCCCUGCGGCACGCCCGGCCAGGCUGCGCCCGCUCUCAGCCAGCGAGGAAAAAGCCUGGAUCCGAAAGGAUGGGGGAGAACAAAGAGCCUUUGGAAGACGUCGCUGUUAUCUCAUUGUCUGUGUGAUUGGGGGAGCUGCGGUAGGGAGGAUGCUGUGGUCCUGUUCUCCCUGCCUCCCCACCCCCAACCCUCUCCCCGCUGUCAGUGCGCACGCACGCGCCCUUCUUUUUACUUAUUUUUCCUUGUUUUUUUUCAUCCCAUCUUCUCCCCACCCCCCUUCCUUUCUUCCACCUGUCCUUCCUUCCUCCUUUACUUCCUCAGGAGAAAGGCCUCUCUCUCCGUGUUCACAGCGGACCUUGAUUUAAAUGUCCAUACAAUUAAGGCACGCGGUGAAUGCCAAGAAUGGGGCUGGCUGAGCACCGUCGGUCCGCGAGGGCCCGCCGGGAAGGAGCCACAGAGCCGAGGCGCCCUCCGCAGAGCUCAGCGCCGCGGCUUCGGGCGGGAGGGGUCUCGGGCUCCCGCUGGCUGGGCUAACCCUGAACCGGAGCCCCUGGGGCGGGGAGGUGUGCAGCUUGUGACAGACAUGGGCUUAGAGAGGCAGACAGACUCAGGGAGAGAAGCUGAUUCUGUGACAGAAACAGAUCUGUGCAAGCACAGAUGCGAUGGGGGCGGAGGCGGGGGGUGCCUGUGAGCGCAUUACGGAGUGCUUCUGUGUGCAUAUUUUUCUCUGGGCUCGGGGCGCAUUGUAUGUGGGUCGACACCUUCCGUGGCUGUGUUUUUGUUCUGGGCUUAGCUUUUGGUUCGCCCUUUAAAAAAAAUAAUCUGGCAUCCAGAAGACUGGCAGUCUGUGCCAGGGCUUGGACCACAGAUAUAUUGUGUUCUCCUUGAGGCUGGGGGUGUGUGUGUGGGGGGGCGGAGUGGGUAGCCAGUUGGAAGGGAGGAGGGAGGUGUUUGUCAUUCUUUGCUGUGGAGCUGUGGGCACCUGACAAGCUUAAGGAAGUCAUUGGGAUAUAGAAGGAAGAAGGAACAAACUCCUGGAGGGUUCAUAAGCUCAAUCAGGGCUGAAAGCGUGGCCAGGGCUCUUAGGAGCAUCUCACUUCCUCCUUGCGGCUGUAAUUGUAGUUUCAGGCAGAGAUCCAGGAGAUGCAGAGGAAGGGAGAGGCGCAGUAACCUACAUGUACCAAAGGGGGGAGGGGAUGAAUUCCUUCUUAAAUCUGAACUGAAGGAAAAACAGAAUGUGCACAAGUGUUGAUUCUGAGGAAAGCCUCUUUUGAAAGGGGCUGUCAGGGAAUGGAAAGGGCUAACCCUCCCUCAUUCUGAAGAACCUGCUUCCCAAAUCAGGCCUUCCUCCCCAGCACUCGAUACAGACCAGCAGCUGAUCCUAGAGAGCCCCUGUAGCUGCAGUGGAUGGUGGCAAGACCUAAACUCAUAAAUUUCCAGGUGGAGGAAAUGGGAGAGGGACAGGUCCCUGCAGAGAAAGGAGGCCAAGAGCUGGAUCAUCCUACCAGGAAGCCGGCUGCAUCCCUUUUCCCACCCUUGGCAGAGGCCUGUCUUUGCAAGACCAAGGCCAUAAGGGAUGCACAGGAUUUUAGUCUUGAUUCUUCACGCGUUAACCAAGGCCUAAAGGAGUUUCGGGGUGAAGCUUACUGAGGCAUUCUUUCCUCUGCAAAGCCUCAGUCUAGCCCACUUAGCAAAUUAGCAUUUAAAGAUACCAUGGAUCCCAAGCCUCAUUUCCUCCCAGAUAUUUAUUAAGUACCUAUUAUGUGCCAAUCACCGUGUAAUGAUUAUAUCUUAGGUUCUUCCUCUGCCCUCCUAAAGGAGUAUCUGGAGUCAGGAGAGGUUAAACGUGCUGUACCCCAUCUAGAUACUCCCAGAACCUUCUCUGCCACCACCUGCUUACCCCUUCUCUCUAGAAGGCUGCAGUUUCCAUCAUGCAAACUGCAGGCAUGGUGCUAUCCCUCAACUCCCAGAAGGCAAGUUUGGCUAAAGGACAGAAGAGAGGCAGUUUCUCUGCCCCCUGAACCUUAGCCAGGGUUGUCCUAAGAGGCACAGGCAGCCACUGCCUUCAAAACAGAUCAUCCUCCAAAUGGUGCCUCCUUGGGGUAUAAAUCCCCUUGCCUCUCCCCACCCUCCUCCCUAAGAAGGCUGCUCUUGUGGUUUUGGGGGGCACAAUUUAAGCCUCCGAUGACCAACCCUUUGCCCUACGGUUGCCCACGAUAGUGAUUCAUCUCUGAUUAUUUUCCCAUAACUCCAUCAGACAGGGCUGUACCCUUCACUGAUGUGCCUGCCCGUCAGCACAAUCUCCAGAUGCCUCCCCCAAGUAAUGGCCCUUUUAGGUGGAAACCUAACACGCUUCUCUCUGAGAGCUUCAACCACAGGCACCAUGGACAAGGCCUGCCAGGUUCCUGCUGCUGAUAAACUAUGGAAGGGAGGGGCAUAUUUUUUAUUACUUAUGUAAACUCUUGUUCCAGAAAGCUUUAAUGGGUGUGGGAGUGUUCUAGGUUUGCCGGGUCUGUGUGCAUGGGUGUGGGGUUUUCCUGUGUUCACCAGCUCUCAUUAUGAAAUGUAUUUUUAUGUGGGGCUUUAAUGGCUGCAAAUGGCAGAGAUGAAUGUACACUCUGCUCCUGGUGUAAUUUCAAGGCCCCCUUUGUGUUCGCCAAACAGAGGUAUCUGAGUGAAGGUCAGUCCUAGCUUCUUCCCUUCUGCUAUAUUCUGGGCCUAUUUAUGCCUAGUGAUAUUUAUGUAAGAAAACUGAAGACUGAUGCUCUUCCAAGGCAUUUCUCAGAUCCCCUCCCUGUCCAUUUGAGCCCCUCUAAUUACACCCUGUGACUUAAACGAAGGGAAAAAUGCAUGAUUUUUAAAACACAGGACACGUUGAGGCAGUGUGCUGACUGAAUAUGCUAAGAAGGCCCCCAUGAGUCCACACACAUCACCAUCAUUAUGGUCCUCGUGACCAUGGGAGCUCAUAUGUUGCCCAAGGUGACUGUAUGAGAUACAUUAAGAUGGAUUUAGAAAUGUAUCAAAGGAAAAAUUGGUAAUAUUCUUGUCUCCCCUGCCAGCGAUGGCCCAGGUCAAGAUCUCUGUUUAAGCAGAAAAGAAACUGAUCUUUUAACAAAAGCUAAGGUAAACUCCUCUGUCAUUUCUAUCACCAAAGGGGUGGGGAGCAGGAACAAUUUUUGUGGCUGCAUGAGGAGCCUUAGCCAGAGAAAUAAAUAAUUGGGCGGAAGCAUGCUCUCUGAGCAGGCAUAUGCCCGUGUAUGUACAUAUAUACAUACAUUUUCUCUCCUAACCACAUCCAUCGCUAACAUUUAUAGGAAAGCAUUUAAACACACGCACACACAGAAAUCUAUACUGUCUCCACAGGGAAAUAAUUUUCUCUUUGCCUCUACUGAACUUACAUAAUACCCCCACCCCCUUGUUCCAACCUUAGAAUGGAGUCCUCUGGGGGCAGCUGCAAAGCACUCUCCCUAGGACAGAUGGAGCCUCCCUCAUCUACUCUGUGGGUGGUUUUAGAGCCCCAUGAGUCAACCGGGACUGAGGGCUGUGCUGGUAGUACGUGUUUGAGGCUCGCCUGGCUGAUUCACAGUGAUGAGUAUGUCAAUAAUAACAAUUAUGAGAAUUAUGAUGCCUAAUAAAGAUUUUUUUCUUCCAA